rnacentral:misc_RNA from 1 species
UCCGGCUUACCACCGGCAGUCCCAUUAGAGUGCCCAACUUAAUGAUGGCAACUAAUGGCGAGGGUUGCGCUCGUUGCGGGACUUAACCCAACAUCUCACGACACGAGCUGACGACAGCCAUGCAGCACCUGUGUCCCUGUCCCCGAAGGGAAAACUGGAUCUCUCCAGCGAUCAGGGCAUGUCAAAAGGUGGUGCAUGGC